UACGUAGGGGGCGAGCGUUGUCCGGAAUUAUUGGGCGUAAAGCGCGCGCAGGCGGUCCUUUAAGUCUGAUGUGAAAGCCCACGGCUCAACCGUGGAGGGUCAUUGGAAACUGGGGGACUUGAGUGCAGAAGAGGAGAGUGGAAUUCCUGGUGUAGCGGUGAAAUGCGUAGAGAUCAGGAGGAACACCAAUGGCGAAGGCAGCUCUCUGGUCUGUAACUGACGCUGAGGCGCGAAAGCGUGGGUAGCAAACAGG
rnacentral:rRNA from 1 species